rnacentral:rRNA from 1 species
UCAGGAUGAACGCUGGCGGCGUGCCUAAUACAUGCAAGUCGAGCGAACUUUUGGGAYCUUGCUCCCAAAARUUAGCGGCGGACGGGGUGAGUAACACGUGGGCAACCUGCCUAUAAGACUGGGAUAACUUCGGGAAACCGGAGCUAAUACCGGAUAACAUAUGAGACCACAUGGUCUCAUAUUAAAAGAUGGCUUUUAGCUAUCACUUAUAGAUGGGCCCGCGGCGCAUUAGCUAGUUGGUGAGGUAAUGGCUUCWCCAARRCGACGAUGCGUAGCCGACCUGAGAGGGUGAUCGGCCACACUGGGACUGAGACACGGCCCAGACUCCUACGGGAGGCAGCAGUAGGGAAUCUUCCGCAAUGGACGAAAGUCUGACGGAGCAACGCCGCGUGAGCGAAGAAGGUCUUCGGAUCGUAAAGCUCUGUUGUUAGGGAAGAACAAGUACCGUUCRAAUAGGGCGGUACCUUGACGGUACCUAACCAGAAAGCCACGGCUAACUACGUGCCAGCAGCCGCGGUAAUACGUAGGUGGCAAGCGUUAUCCGGAAUUAUUGGGCGUAAAGCGCGCGCAGGCGGUCCUUUAAGUCUGAUGUGAAAGCCCACGGCUCAACCGUGGAGGGUCAUUGGAAACUGGGGGACUUGAGUGCAGAAGAGGAGAGCGGAAUUCCACGUGUAGCGGUGAAAUGCGUAGAGAUGUGGAGGAACACCAGUGGCGAAGRCGGCUCUCUGGUCUGUAACUGACGCUGAGGCGCGMMAGCGCCUUCCAACAGGAUUAG